rnacentral:tRNA from 3 species
CGGCACUUACGUCAAGUAAGGUAGCCGUCAUGGGGUGUCGGGGGUCGGAGGUUCAAAUCCUCUCGUGCCGACCA